rnacentral:rRNA from 1 species
AACGAACGCUGGCGGCGUGCUUAACACAUGCAAGUCGAACGCGAAAUUUUUCUUCGGAAAGAGAGUAGAGUGGCGCACGGGUGAGUAACGCGUAAGUAAUCUACCCUGGUAUCUGGGAUAACCCACCGAAAGGUGUGCUAAUACCGGAUACGCUGAUUUAUCAGGAAAGGUGGCCUCUUCAUGAAAGCUACUGUACCAGGAGGAGCUUGCGUACCAUUAGCUAGUUGGUAGGGUAAUGGCCUACCAAGGCAACGAUGGUUAGCGGGUCUGAGAGGAUGAUCCGCCACACUGGAACUGGAACACGGACCAGACUCCUACGGGAGGCAGCAGUGAGGAAUAUUGCGCAAUGGGGGAAACCCUGACGCAGCGACGCCGCGUGGAUGAUGAAGGC